GGGAUGCUUAGUGGCACAGCACCUGCCUGGCAAGCAUGAGGUCCUGAGUUCAAUUCUUGGUACCCA
rnacentral:tRNA from 1 species